rnacentral:rRNA from 1 species
AGAAUCAACGCUGGCGGCGUGCCUAACACAUGCAAGUCGAACGAGAAAGUGGAGCAAUCCAUGAGUAAAGUGGCGACCGGGUGAGUAACACGUGACUAACCUACCUUCGAGUGGGGGAUAACCUCGGGAAACCGGGGCUAAUACCGCAUAACAUCUUUGGAGUGGAAAUUCUGGAGAUCAAAGGAGCAAUUCGCUGGAAGAGGGGGUCGCGGCUGAUUAGCUAGUUGGCGGGGUAACGCCCACCAAGGCAAAGAUCGGUAUCCGGCCUGAGAGGGCGCACGGACACACUGGAACUGAAACACGGUCCAGACUCCUACGGGAGGCAGCAGUGGGGAAUUUUGCGCAAUGGGGGAAACCCUGACGCAGCAACGCCGCGUGGAGGAUGAAGUCCCUUGGGACGUAAACUCCUUUCGACCCGGACGAUAAUGACGGUACGGGUGGAAGAAGCCCCGGCUAACUUCGCGCCAGCAGCCGC